rnacentral:misc_RNA from 1 species
GAUGAAGAACGUAGCGAAAUGCGAUAAGUAGUGUGAAUUGCAGAAUUCAGUGAAUCAUCGAAUCUUUGAACGCACAUUGUGCCCCCUGGUAUUCCGGGGGGCAUGCCUGUCCGAGCGUCAUUACAACCCUCAAGCUCAGCUUGGUGUUGGGCCCCGCCGCCCCGGCGGGCCCUAAAGUCAGUGGCGGUGCCGUCCGGCUCCGAGCGUAGUAAUUCUUCUCGCUCUGGAGGUCCGGUCGUGUGCUCGCCAGCAACCCCCAAUUUUUUUCAGGUUGACCUCGGAUCAGGUAGGGAUACCCGCUGAACUUAAGCAUAUCAAUAAGCGGAGGA